rnacentral:rRNA from 1 species
UGAAUACGAGAUGCUACGGCGUCGAAGCAGUCUAUGUCAUACUUCCAAGAAAAGCUUGCACUGUCAUAAACAAAUAAUGCCUGUACCAUAACCGACACAGGUGGGUAGGUAGAGUAUACUAAGGGGCGCGAGAUAACUCUCUCUAAGGAACUCGGCAAAAUGACUCCGUAACUUCGGGAGAAGGAGUGCCUUAUUUAUAAGGUUGCAAUAACAAGAUCCAAGCAACUGUUUACCAAAAACACAGGUCUCCGCUAAGUCGUAAGACGAUGUAUGGGGGCUGACGCCUGCCCAGUGCCAGAAGGUUAAAGAAGUUGGUUAGCAUCCGCGAAGCUGAUAACUGAAGCCCUGGUGAACGGCGGCCGUAACGAUAACGGUCCUAAGGUAGCGAAAUUCCUUGUCGGGUAAGUUCCGACCCGCACGAAAGGCGUAAUGAUUUGGAUACUGUCUCGGAGAGGGGCUCGGUGAAAUAGACUUGUCUGUGAAAAUGCGGACUACCUGCACCAGGACAGAAAGACCCUAUGAAGCUUUACUGUAACCUGAAAUUGAAAUUGGACUUUACUUGCGCAGUAUAGGUGGGAGGCGUUGAGAAUAUUCUUGCGGGAUUAUUGGAGCCAUCAGUGAGAUACCACUCUUGUAAUGUUAGAUUUCUAACUUUGUAUCAUUAUCUGGUCAAAGAACAGUUUCAGGCGGGCAGUUUGACUGGGGCGGUCGCCUCCUAAACGGUAACGGAGGCGCACAAAGGUUUCCUCUGAACGGGUAGAAAUCGUAUCUAGAGUGUAAAGGCAUAAGGAAGCUUGACUGUGAGACCUACAAGUCGAGCAGGGACGAAAGUCGGUCUUAGUGAUCUGACGGUGCUGAGUGGAAAGGCCGUCACUCAACGGAUAAAAGUUACUCUAGGAUAACAGGCUGAUCUCCCCCAAGAGUUCACAUCGACGGGGAGGUUUGGCACCUCGAUGUCGGCUCAUCGCAUCCUGGGGCGGUAGUACGUCCCAAGGGUUGGGCUGUUCGCCCAUGAAAGCGGUACGCGAGCUGGGUUCAGAACGUCGUGAGACAGUUCGGUCCAUAUCCGGUGUAGGCGUUAGAAUAUUGAGAGGAGCCUUCUUUAGUACGAGAGGACCGAGAAGGACAUACCUCUGGUGUACCAGUUAUCGUGCCAACGGUAAACGCUGGGUAGCUAUGUGUGGAGUGGAUAACCGCUGAAAGCAUCUAAGUGGGAAGCCCACCUCAAGAUAAGUAUUCUCA